UACGGGGGGAGCAAGCGUUGUUCGGAUUUACUGGGCGUAAAGGGCGCGUAGGCGGCCACCGCAAGUCGACUGUGAAAUCUCCGGGCUUAACCCGGAAGGGUCAGCCGAUACUGCGGGGCUAGAGUGCAGAAGGGGCAACUGGAAUUCUCGGUGUAGCGGUGAAAUGCGUAGAUAUUCGCAAGAACACCAGUGGCGAAGGCAGCCUUCUGGGCCAACACUGACGCUCAUGCACGAAAGCGUGGGGAGCAAACAGG
rnacentral:rRNA from 1 species